UUAAUUUGUUAGAAAUAUCCUUUUUCUGGGCUCUUGCGAAGGGUCUGGGAACAACUACUGACCAUGAAAACGCAGAGGAAAGGAAUCUUGACCACUUGGGAGAAGCAGCCUCCAUUAUGUCUCCUUCUGCUCCCUGGCAGUCCAGUCCUGCCGAAGAUCAGAGGCCCAGAUUAUUGAAGGAGACUCCGUGGACAUGCCCAAGUAGUUGCUGUGACAACUCACCAAAGGUUCUAAACUGUGGGUCUUGUCCUUGGAAAGCUUUGAAAUCUUCCCCGAACGACUGAUUCCCAGGCAAUUUCUCAAACAUGACUCCUAGUCCCCCACUGAAAGGCCACAGAGGUUCGGCGGCGAUGGCGCAGAAGAGAGGGCCUCUUCGGAGGUUAGCAGAUCCCCGAACGAGGCUUUCUGUCCAUCCAUCAGACCCCACCCCCACCCAGGGACAAAAACACCUCUUCCCUCUCUCUCUCUCUCUCCGCUGCCCUCCCGGUGAUUGGUGAAUCCCCACAAAAAUAAAUCGU